rnacentral:rRNA from 1 species
UAGCCCUGAAAAUGGAUGGCGCUGAAGCGUCGUACCCAGACCCGGCCGUCGGGCCGCGCGGCACGGUCCGACGAGUAGGAGGGCGUGGCGGUGGCAGCGCAGCUUCGGGCGCGAGCCCGGGUGAAGCCUCCGCCAGUGCAGAUCUUGGUGGUAGUAGCAACUAUUCAAACGAGAUCUUUGAAGACUGAAGUGGAGUAGGGUUCCAUGUGACCAGCACUUGGACAUGGGUUAGUCGAUCCUAAGGGGAGGGAGAGUUCCCCGUGGAAGGUGCAAUCGCCUCCGGCGACCGCGCCGUUUUCCCCGAAAGGGAGUCGGGUCAACAUUCCCGAACCGGGAUGCGGGUAGGCCCUCGUGGCCACGGCGGCAACGCGAGCGAACUCGGAGACGUCGGCGGGAGCCCCGGGAAGAGUUCUCUUUUCUUCUUAACGGGCCUUUCCCCUGGAAUCAGGUUGGCUGGAGAUAGGGUGUCGUGCCCGGUAAAGCGUCACACUUGUGGUGGCGUCCGGUGCGCUCCCGACGGCCCGUGAAAAUCCGAGGGAGCGUCUGAUCUUCGCGCCCGGUCGUACCGAUAUCCGCAUCAGGUCUCCAAGGUGAACAGCCUCUAGUCGAUAGAACAAUGUAGGUAAGGGAAGUCGGCAAAACGGAUCCGU